rnacentral:tRNA from 1 species
GUUUUCGUAGUUAAAUCUUUAUAACGGCGGCUUUUCAGGCCGCAGAUCCUGGAGAGAGUCCGGGCGAGAAUU